rnacentral:rRNA from 1 species
CUUAACCUACGGGACGCAGCAGUAGGGAAUCUUCCACAAUGGACAAAAGUCUGAUGGAGCAACGCCGCGUGAGUGAAGAAGGGUUUCGGCUCGUAAAGCUCUGUUGGUAGUGAAGAAAGAUAGAGGUAGUAACUGGCCUUUAUUUGACGGUAGUUACUUAGAAAGUCACGGCUAACUACGUGCCAGCAGCCGCGGUAAUACGUAGGUGGCAAGCGUUGUCCGGAUUUAUUGGGCGUAAAGCGAGUGCAGGCGGUUCAAUAAGUCU